UACGUAGGGAGCUAGCGUUGUCCGGAAUUACUGGGCGUAAAGCGUGCGUAGGCGGUUCUCCAAGUCCGUUGUGAAAGCCCCGGGCUCAACCUGGGAAUGGCAGUGGAAACUAGGGGACUGGAAUCUGGCAGAGGGGGGUGGAAUGCCGCGUGUAGCAGUGAAAUGCGUAGAGAUGCGGCGGAACACCGAUGGCGAAGGCAGCCCCCUGGGCUGAGAUUGACGCUCAGGCACGAAAGCGUGGGGAGCAAACAGG
rnacentral:rRNA from 1 species